AGUCCCGCAAGGGACUCGAGAGUGGCAAACGGGUGAGUAACGCGUGGGCGACCUACCUCAGAGUGGGGGAUAACCUUCCGAAAGGAGGGCUAAUACCGCAUGACAUCCCGUGUUUAGAUACACGGACAUCAAAGCCGGGGAUCGCAAGACCUGGCGCUUGGAGAGGGGCCCGCGUCCGAUUAGCUAGUUGGUGGGGUAACGGCUCACCAAGGCUCCGAUCGGUAUCCGGCCUGAGAGGGCGGACGGACACACUGGAACUGAGACACGGUCCAGACUCCUACGGGAGGCAGCAGUGGGGAAUUGUUCGCAAUGGGCGCAAGCCUGACGACGCAACGCCGCGUGGAGGAUGAAGACUUUCGGGUCGUAAACUCCUUUCGACCGAGAUGAAUUUCCCACGACCUAACACGUCGUGGGAGUGACAGUAUCGAGGGAAGAAGCCCCGGCUAACUCCGUGCCAGCAGCCGCGGUAAUACGGGGGGGGCAAGCGUUGUUCGGAAUUACUGGGCGUAAAGGGUUUGUAGGUGGCUUGUUAAGUCAGACGUGAAAUCCCUCAGCUUAACUGGGGAACUGCGUCUGAUACUGACGAGCUUGAGUGCAGGAGAGGAACGCGGAAUUCCAGGUGUAGCGGUGAAAUGCGUAGAUAUCUGGAGGAACACCGGUGGCGAAGGCGGCGUUCUGGACUGCAACUGACACUGAAAAACGAAAGCCAGGGGAGCAAACGGGAUUAGAUACCCCGGUAGUCCUGGCCCUAAACGAUGAAUGCUUGGUGUGGCGGGUAUCGAUCCCUGCCGUG
rnacentral:rRNA from 1 species